ensembl:snRNA U6 U6 spliceosomal RNA
GUGCCCACUUCGGUAACACAUAUGCUAAAAUUGGAAAGAUACACAGAAGAUUAGCAUAGACCCUGCCCAGGGAUGACACACAAAUUCAUGAAGCGGUCCAUAUUUUU